rnacentral:rRNA from 1 species
CCUACGGGUGGCAGCAGUGGGGAAUAUUGCACAAUGGGGGGAACCCUGAUGCAGCAACGCCGCGUGGGUGAAGAAGUACUUCGGUAUGUAAAGCCCUUUUAGCAGGGAAGAAAAUGACGGUACCUGUCCAAGAAGCCCCGGCUAACUACGUGCCAGCAGCCGCGGUAAUAUGGAGGGGGCCAGCGUUAUCCGGAUUUACUGGGUGUAAAGGGAGCGUAGACGGCAAGGCAAGUCUGGAGGGAAAGCCCGUGGCUCAACCACGGGACUGCUUUGGAAACUGUGUUGCUGGAGUGCAGGAGGGGUAAGCGGAAUUCCUAGUGUAGCGGUGAAAUGCGUAGAUAUUAGGAGGAACACCGGUGGCGAAGGCGGCUUACUGGACUGUAACUGACGUUGAGGCUCGAAGGCAUGGGGAGCAAACAGGAUUAGAUACCCGAGUAGUC